rnacentral:rRNA from 1 species
AUUGAACGCUGGCGGAAUGCUUUACACAUGCAAGUCGAACGGCAGCACGGACUUCGGUCUGGUGGCGAGUGGCGAACGGGUGAGUAAUGUAUCGGAACGUGCCCAGUCGUGGGGGAUAACGUAGCGAAAAUUACGCUAAUACCGCAUACGAUCUAUGGAUGAAAGCGGGGGAUCGCAAGACCUCGCGCGAUUGGAGCGGCCGAUAUCAGAUUAGGUAGUUGGUGGGGUAAAGGCCCACCAAGCCAACGAUCUGUAGCUGGUCUGAGAGGACGACCAGCCAGACUGGAACUGGGACACGGUCCAGACUCCAACGGGAGGCAGCGGGGGGGAAUUUUGGAAAAUGGGCGAAAGCCUGAUCCAGCCAUUCCGCGUGCAGGAUGAAGGCCCUCGGGUUGUAAACUGCUUUUAUACAGAACAAAAAGGUUUCUACUAAUACUAGGAGCUCAUGACGGUACUGUAAGGAUAAGCCCCGGCUAACUACGUGCCAGCCGCCGCGGUAA